rnacentral:rRNA from 1 species
GGCGGACGGGUGAGUAAUGUCUGGGAAACUGCCUGAUGGAGGGGGAUAACUACUGGAAACGGUAGCUAAUACCGCAUAAUGUCGCAAGACCAAAGUGGGGGACCUUCGGGCCUCAUGCCAUCAGAUGUGCCCAGAUGGGAUUAGCUAGUAGGUGGGGUAACGGCUCACCUAGGCGACGAUCCCUAGCUGGUCUGAGAGGAUGACCAGCCACACUGGAACUGAGACACGGUCCAGACUCCUACGGGAGGCAGCAGUGGGGAAUAUUGCACAAUGGGCGCAAGCCUGAUGCAGCCAUGCCGCGUGUGUGAAGAAGGCCUUCGGGUUGUAAAGCACUUUCAGCGGGGAGGAAGGCGUUAAGGUUAAUAACCUUGGCGAUUGACGUUACCCGCAGAAGAAGCACCGGCUAACUCCGUGCCAGCAGCCGCGGUAAUACGGAGGGUGCAAGCGUUAAUCGGAAUUACUGGGCGUAAAGCGCACGCAGGCGGUCUGU